GAUGAACGCUGGCGGCGUGCCUAAUACAUGCAAGUCGAGCGAACGGACGAGAAGCUUGCUUCUCUGAUGUUAGCGGCGGACGGGUGAGUAACACGUGGAUAACCUACCUAUAAGACUGGGAUAACUUCGGGAAACCGGAGCUAAUACCGGAUAAUAUUUUGAACCGCAUGGUUCAAAAGUGAAAGACGGUCUUGCUGUCACUUAUAGAUGGAUCCGCGCUGCAUUAGCUAGUUGGUAAGGUAACGGCUUACCAAGGCAACGAUGCAUAGCCGACCUGAGAGGGUGAUCGGCCACUCUGGAACUGAGACACGGUCCAGACUCCUACGGGAGGCAGCAGUAGGGAAUCUUCCGCAAUGGGCGAAAGCCUGACGGAGCAACGCCGUGUGAGUGAUGAAGGUCUUCGGAUCGUAAAACUCUGUUAUUAGGGAAGAACAUAUGUGUAAGUAACUGUGCACAUCUUGACGGUACCUAAUCAGAAAGCCACGGCUAACUACGUG
rnacentral:rRNA from 1 species